rnacentral:lncRNA from 1 species
GUAGACAACAGAGGAUAUUACAUGCCGAUUAACACAUACACAUUCGUUGUCGCACAAAUGACAACGACUGCAAGCGUCGGGGGGGUGAAGGAAAGCACCUAUCACGUCUGAGGGGCGAGGGAAAGCGGAGGGAAAGCACGUUACAAACUUCAGUUUAAAGAGUAAUCUAAGCCCUUUAUUCAGAUCUAGAGUCCACGUGGCUCACUGUCGGGGCCCUAACGAGGUCCGGCUGCGCCAACGAGGCAACGACUCCCAGGUGCCGCGGCCGCCCGGGCACAGCUGCGGCUCGUCGGGAGCUCAGGGCACGGCCCGCCCCGACGCCUUUUAAGCUCCGCCGGAGGCCGCUGGGAGCAGUGAGGGGGGUUUCUGAGGCUCCUUUGCCUCUGGGAGUGGGCUGCGUUCGUUUCUCCGGUCCUAGCGCUACGGGGGUUGGAAAGCAGCGUUGCUGCUCUCGCGGCUCAGCGAGGGCUGCGGCGGAGCGUCUCGUCAGUCCAAACCGGAAAGACGGCGCGGUGAGGUGGUGGAGCAUCAUCUCUCUUCCCGUGAGAGAACAGGAAUGUAUUGUGCCCCGCCUCGGGAGGAGUGAAGAACUAAGCGGAGCGGUUGCGUGCGAGGCUGAAACAGCAGGAGGCUCCUGCAAUGUGCUGAAGGAAGAACUUUGGACACGGGUGAUGGAGGAGCGCCUCUGGAGUUUGCUCUCCCUGUUGAGGAAGUGA